GACAGAGGGUGCAAACGUUGUUCGGAAUUACUGGGCGUAAAGCGCGUGUAGGCGGCUCUGCAAGUCAGGUGUGAAAUCCCACGGCUCAACCAUGGAAGUGCACUUGAAACUGCAGGGCUAGAGUCCUGGAGAGGAAGGUGGAAUGCUUGGUGUAGAGGUGAAAUUCGUAGAUAUCAAGCGGAACACCGGUGGCGAAGGCGGCCUUCUGGACAGUGACUGACGCUGAGACG
rnacentral:rRNA from 1 species